rnacentral:rRNA from 1 species
CGUGGUUAAUGUCCCUCAAUGUAGGCUAAGUGUCAACACUGAAAGGCGUCCCAGGCCAAAGACAACUGGAAGGUGAGCUCAGAAGCAGCUAUCCUUUAAAAAGUGCGUAACAGCUUACCAGUCGAGGUUUGGGGCACUGAAAAUGGACGGGGCUAAAGCCUACUACAGAUACCACGGACCACGCGCAAGCGUGACGGCGUAGAGAGGCGUGCUGCCUGGACAGAAGCAGGGGCGUGAGCUCCUGUGGACCGGGUAGUAAUGAGAAUUCUGGCAUUAGUAGAAGCAAAGUUGGGUGAGAAUCCCAACCGCCGGAGGGGCUAGGUUUCCUCGGCAAUGUUCGUCAGCCGAGGGUUAGUCGGUCCUAAGAUGUGUCGUAAUUCGAGCACGUCAACAGGGAAACAGGUUAAUAUUCCUGUACCAUUCAUCCGUAGCGGUUUACCGCCCUGACGCUUCGGGAUAUGCCGGGCAGGGUCGUCGCCUUGUCCAAGCGUUCAAACUCGUGGAGUACCGCCAUGGUGAGAAGCGAGUGAAGGCGUGAUGGAGUAAUUCGGCAAAUUCCUGGAGCCCGUGAAAAGGGGGAUGAAUGUCCGUACCGAGAUCUGACACAGGUGCCCCUAGCUGAAAAGGCUAAGGCGUGUCGGUUUAAUCGUGUUAAGGGAACUCGGCAAAUUGGCCCCGUAACUUCGGGACAAGGGGUGCCUGCCUGGCGAUCAGGCAGGUCGCAGUGACAAAGGGGCUCUGACUGUCUAAUAACAACAUAGGUGACUGCAACUCGGAAACGAUUAGUAUAGUCACUGAUUCCUGCCCAGUGCGAGUAUCUGAAUACCGGGUUCAACCGGACGAAGGACUCGUAAACGGCGGGGGUAACUAUGACCCUCUUAAGGUAGCGUAGUACCUUGUCGCUUAAUUGGCGACUUGCAUGAAUGGAUUAAUGAGAGCCCUACUGUCCCUAACACGAAGCCGUUGAACAUUUUAUCCUAGUGCAGAGACUAGGGACUCCAGAUGGGAAGUGAAGACCCCGUGGAGCUUUACUGCAGCCUGUCGCUGUGUUACGGUAUUCCUUGCGCAGCGUAGAUGGGAGGCGUCGAUCCACCCCUUCCGGGGGGUGGGGAGCCAACAAUGAGACACCAUCCUUGGUUUACUGUAACACUAACUCUCUUACGAGAGGACAACGGUAGGUAGGCAGUUUGGGUGGGGCGCCACACCCUCGAAAAAAUAUCAAGGGUGCCCUAUGGUCAACUCAUGUGAGUCAGAAACUCACAGGAGAGUGUCAAGAGCAUAAGUUGGCCUGACGCGAUUACGCAUAGCAAGUAAUCGCGAGAGGAAACUCGGGUCUAACGAACCAAUGAGCCUUAUUGAUGAGGGCCAUUGACGACAGAAAAGCUACCCCGGGGAUAACAGAGUCGUCGCCGGCAAGAGCACAUAUCGACCCGGCGGCUUGCUACCUCGAUGUCGGUUCUUUCCAUCCUGGCCGUGCAGCAGCGGCCAAGGGUGAGGUUGUUCGCCUAUUAAAGGGGAUCGUGAGCUGGGUUUAGACCGUCGUGAGACAGGUCGGUUACUAUCUAUCUGGAGUGUUAGGAGUCUGAAGGUAAGAUGGAAAUAGUACGAGAGGAACUUUCCGUCGUCGCCUCUGGUCGAUCGGUUGUCCGACAGGGCAAUGCCGAGCAGCUACGCGAUAAGGGAUAAAAGCUGAAAGCAUCUAAGCUUGAAACCUGACCUAAAAAGAGACUCCGUUGAGGACAUGGGUAAAAGACCCGCUUGAUAGGUCCGGGAUGUAAGCACGAAGGCAACGACGUGUUCAGUCCGCGGAUACUAACGUCCGACACCUUCCGCU